rnacentral:sRNA from 1 species
UAAGAAAUGUAAAUAGCUACACAGGCUU